rnacentral:rRNA from 1 species
GGGUUUACUCAUUGGUCAGGCUUAAUUGUCUGUACUGGUGAGAUGAAUCUCUACCUUCUGAGGAACUUUCAUGCCAUUUAUUUGGUGUGAUGGGAAAUCAGGACUGUUACUUUGAAAAAAUUAGAGUGUCUAAAGCAGGUUCACGCUUGAAUACAUUAGCAUGGAAUAAUGAAAUAGGACGUUUGAUUCUAUUUUGUUGGUUUCUAGGAUCACCGUA